rnacentral:snRNA from 1 species
CUCAUUUUUCGGUCUUUUGGCUAAAAUUAAGUGUAAUAUUUGUUUUGCCAGUUCAAUAUCAGUUUAAUAUCUGGUAUAUGAACAAUAUGUUCACUUUGACAUUAAAUUUCUUUAUUAUGGGUAUUUUUAUGUGGAGGUUCCAUUAAGACUCAAGUGUCGUUUAGUCACC